AUUGAACGCUGGCGGCAUGCCUUACACAUGCAGGUCGAACGGCAGCACGGGUGCUUGCACCUGGUGGCGAGUGGCGAACGGGUGAGUAAUAUAUCGGAACGUACCUUAUUGUGGGGGAUAACGCAGCGAAAGCUGUGCUAAUACCGCAUAAUCCCUUAGGGGGAAAGCGGGGGACCGUAAGGCCUCGCGCAAUUAGAGCGGCCGAUACCUGAUUAGCUAGUUGGUGAGGUAAAGGCUCACCAAGGCGACGAUCAGUAGCUGGUCUGAGAGGACGAUCAGCCACACUGGGACUGAGAAACGGCCCAGACUCCUACGGGAGGAAGCAGUGGGGAAUUUGGGACAAGGGGGGCAACCCUGAUCCAGCAAUGCCGCGUGAGUGAAGAAGGCCUACGGGUUGUAAAGCUCUUUUGUCAGGGAAGAAACAGCAGCUCUAACACAGUAUGCGAAUGACGGUACCUGAAGAAUAAGCACCGGCUAACUACGUGCCAGCAGCCGCCGUAA
rnacentral:rRNA from 1 species